rfam:Lactobacillus acidipiscis strain DSM 15353 Scaffold138, whole genome shotgun sequence.
UGAAAUUAGCUGUAUCAAUUAUUAUUAGUCUGUGUUAUAAUUCUUUAUGUAGUUUGAAUAGGUUUUUUUGGUAAGGAUGUUUCACGAUUUCCUCCAUAAAGCGCCGACUAGAAUUACAAUAUACGUGCCGAAAGGCGCAACAAGGAGGAUCCAUUAUAAUGGAACAAGGAACAGUAAAAUGGUUUAAUGCAGACAAGGGUUAUGGCUUUAUCACACGCGAAGACGGCAGCGAUGUAUUCGUACAUUUCUCAGCUGUCCAAGGCGACGGCUUCAAGACUUUGGACGAAGGUCAACAUGUAACCUUUGAUGUUGAAGACAGCGACCGUGGCCCACAAGCAGCUAACGUUGUUAAAGACUAAUUAAAAAUUAAAAUUAAAGCAAGCCUUUGUGAGCUUGCUUUUUUU